UACAGAGGUCUCAAGCGUUGUUCGGAUUCAUUGGGCGUAAAGGGUGCGUAGGUGGCGCGGUAAGUCGGGUGUGAAAUUUCGGAGCUUAACUCCGAAACUGCAUUCGAUACUGCCGUGCUUGAGGACUGGAGAGGAGACUGGAAUUUACGGUGUAGCAGUGAAAUGCGUAGAGAUCGUAAGGAAGACCAGUGGCGAAGGCGGGUCUCUGGACAGUUCCUGACACUGAGGUGCGAAAGCGUGGGGAGCAAACAGG
rnacentral:rRNA from 1 species